AUAGUUCAAGCCUGAAUUUCAAUGAGAUGGGAACACUUUUUAGUAUAAACGCAAGAUUUUCAUGUCUCCCUUUUAGGAAAAAUAGGGAUUAUGGCGUUCAUCUGUUUCAUCCAGAACUCGAAGCAAAACCCUAAACCUCAGACUCUUCCAGCAUGUCUGAUCCAAUCAAACAAGGGAAGAUGCUGCGGGUGCUUUGUAUGCUAAGGAAGUGCUACGAUGCCAUCGUCUGUCCAGGAAAAGAAAGGAACACCCAUCCAUGUGGUUAAGCCAUCAGAAAACUGGAGCAUUGGGAAUAAAGGAAUUAUUUCCACGAGACAAGCACGCCAGCCAUUGGCUCAUAAUGAGCUGAAAGACCAAUGACUGCUUCUCAGAGACUCCCAAGGGCCCAGUGUCCUGGGGGCAGACCUGUGGCUGAGUCAGCAUGGUGCACAGCAGAAAGUGGGGGGAGAGUGGCCAGCGCUGCCCCGGCGGGCUCUGUCUGCAUCACCUGGAGCGGCACAGACCCUUCAGUCUCCAUUCUCUCUUCAGGAAAGAGGCCUACUCGCAGAUGAACACACCAAGGCUCAGAGACAAAGCAAAUCCGUGGGAUGCCGAGGGCACUUGGAUAACUUCCGCUCUGGAGAGAAGCCCAAACUCCGCGUCCCGGAGACCUGAAGUGUGGCCGCCAGUGGACACCCAGCUGAGGGAUGAGCAGCAAUGAAUGAGAGUUCCUAUUGCUCCACGUCCUCACCGCAUUUGCUGCUAUCUGUGCCCUGGAUUUGGGCCAUUCUGAUAGGUGUGUGGUAUCCAGUAGGUGUGUCUCGUUGUUUUAAUUUGCAUUUCUCUGAUGACAUAUGAUGUGGAUUAUCUUUUCAUCUGCUCAUUUGCCGUCUAUAUAUCUUCUCUGAGGCAUCUGCUCAGAUCUUUGCCUUUGGCCUUUUGUUAUCUUUAAAACACAGAAGGUGGUGCAGGGUGUGUUAAGAAGGCAUGUCUGGGCAAGUGGGUGCCUUUGCCUCUCCCUGCUGCCCCCGCACAGGAUUUCUCCAGGCUGUCUUGUCACCCAAUUCUAUUUGGUUGGGGCCACAUUUACCAGGGAUCCCCACUAUCCCAAAACUCUGCUUGAACACAUUGUCUGUCCAGGAGGGGCCUGUCGAGCUGCAAUUUAUGUUCUAUAGGUUCAGGCAGCUGCUGCUAAAGUGACAAAGUGACUCUCUGACCUGGUUUGCUGAGAUAGUCACAGAUGACACCUCUUAUCCUGGCUUAAUGGUUACAACUCCCACCCCACCAAAGUAUCUCAGUUUGGACAAUAACCACAGUUAUUAUCCUUGGGAAAGGACAUUUGGGCUCUGACAUCUGGCCUGGCUGAAUCACCUCCUCCCUGUUGGAGGGGGUCAGGGGUCAGGGUUGCUUCCCUGAAGCUCUGGAAAGGCCAGUGAAGGUGAAGGAGGUGUGACAGUAGAAACUGCUGCGAAGAGCAGACUCCUCUGUCCAUGGGCAGGGACCUCAAAGGCUUUCACUUCACACCCACCUCCAUCAACGUCAAUGGUCACCAAGGUCCUGAAGCCUUCCUGAAUUUCUUCCUGCAUUUCUCCAACCAGAGCAAUUCUCUUUCUUUGAGUCCUCAAGUCCACACUGAGCUUCUUUCUCCUCCCUUAGCACAUUCCUUCUCCUGAGAGACAGCUUAACAUGCAGCAGCUCUGUGACCUUGGGCCUCAGUUUCCCCAUCUGCAAAAUGAGGAGGGUCAUAGUGCCUGUCUCAGAGAGUCAUGAAGAGGAUAAAGUGAAUGAAUACAUGUAAUGUGCUGGGAGCAGCUUCGGACACAUGGAAAUGUUCGCUAUCAUUUUAAGCACUGAAUCUUAUCUUCCCUCCAGAUUGUAAGCAUCUUUCCUUUAAAAGAGCAAAGUUC